rnacentral:lncRNA from 1 species
GAAAUCGCCUUUGGUACAGAUUCCUAAGGCAGCUGCGGCAAUGAAACGAGACCAGCAUUAUGACUCACUCCACGGAGAUUGAUCAUGGUGUCCACCACCAGCCCUUGGCCAUCUAUUUCUGUCAUUGCUGAAAUGGAAGCAGAGGAGAUCAAACGCACUGAACAACUAUGGCCAGAGAGUGGACAUGGACCAUUGCACAGGGAAUCAACGUGCAAAACUUUACCGGAUGUUUUUGGAGGAUGAAUAUAAAGUAGGAAGUCGAAGAGUUGAAGAGCAUGGGUAGCAUUGAAACUGUGAGCUUUGGAGCCAUGAAGGAAUGUUAUUUACUUCAGAAACCACACUGUUAGCUUCUGAGGUAAACAAUAUUUACUCAGUCAUUAGACCGAAAAUGCAAUUGAUGCCUUUUAAUUCUGUAAUCACCUAUAAACAAAGCAAAGAAUACUUAACUGUGGUUACAGAAUAAUGUUUUCAACCUUGAUAAUGUGAAGUGUGGAGGUGGAAAAGGGAAAGAGGCAAGUAAGG